rnacentral:rRNA from 1 species
CCUACGGGUGGCAGCAGUGGGGAAUAUUGCACAAUGGGGGAAACCCUGAUGCAGCGACGCCGCGUGAGUGAAGAAGUAAUUCGUUAUGUAAAGCUCUAUCAGCAGGGAAGAAAAUGACGGUACCUGAGUAAGAAGCCCCGGCUAACUACGUGCCAGCAGCCGCGGUAAUCCGUAGGGGGCAAGCGUUAUCCGGAUUUACUGGGUGUAAAGGGAGCGUAGACGGCAGUGCAAGUCUGGAGUGAAAGGCGUGGGCUAAACCCCCGGACUGCGCUGGAAACUGUACGGCUGGAGUGCAGGAGAGGUAAGUGGAAUUCCUAGUGUAGCGGUGAAAUGCGUAGAUAUUAGGCGGAACACCAGUGGCGAAGGCGGCUUACUAGACUGUAACUGACGUUGAGGCUCGAAAGCGUGGGGAGCAAACAGGAUUAGAUACCCCUGUAGUC